AAUCCAUAGGUUAAUGAGGCGAACCGGGGGAACUGAAACAUCUAAGUACCCCGAGGAAAAGAAAUCAACCGAGAUUCCCCCAGUAGCGGCGAGCGAACGGGGAGGAGCCCAGAGCCUGAAUCAGCAUGUGUGUUAGUGGAAGCGUCUGGAAAGGCGCGCGAUACAGGGUGACAGCCCCGUACACAAAAGCGCAUGUGCUGUGAGCUCGAUGAGUAGGGCGGGACACGUGGUAUCCUGUCUGAAUAUGGGGGGACCAUCCUCCAAGGCUAAAUACUCCUGACUGACCGAUAGUGAACCAGUACCGUGAGGGAAAGGCGAAAAGAACCCCGGCGAGGGGAGUGAAAAAGAACCUGAAACCGUGUACGUACAAGCAGUGGGAGCCCCACCACCAAAGCAUUCUCU
rnacentral:rRNA from 2 species